rnacentral:lncRNA from 1 species
AUGACAUCAUGCUGGAGUCUCUCUCCAACAUCAUCCCAGUGCCUAAAUCAGGAGACCUCUCCAAAGAGGACCACCACAGCCCAGAUCCUGGCACUAAGGAGAAUGAUCGAGGAGGUGAAGAAGGAUAACCUGCCAGCUGUACUGUGCUUUAUCGACUUCAAAAAGGCCUUUGAUUCGAUCCACAGAGGCACGAUGGUGAAGAUCCUUAAGGCCUAUGGUGUUCCUCCCAACCUACUCCGGGGUAUUGAGACCAUGUACGCAGGAACAAGGUCCAAGGUGGUUACCCCAGAUGGCAGCACUGAGGAGUUUGAUAUCCUGGCUGGAGUAAUGCAAGGGGACAAACUAGCCCCCUACCUCUUCAUCAUUGUCCUGGAUUAUGCGCUCAGAAAAGCCAUUAGUGGGCGGGAGCAGGGCCUCGGCUUCCCCCUUAACCCAAGGAGGUCAAAGCGACACCCUGCAGUUGUCCGGACAGACCUGGACUACACGGAUGACAUCAGCCUGCUCUCCAACAACGUGGAGAAAGCACAGGAACUCCUGAACAGAGUGGAGCUGGAGUGUGCCAAGGUUGGCCUUAGGCUAAAGGCCAAUAAAACAAAGGUCAUCACCUACAACAUCUCACCGGAGCAUCAACCGCUGACAACUGGUGGCACUGUGCUGAAGGAAGUCGAGGACUUCAAGUAUCUGGGCUCAUGGGUCAACUCAACCGAGCAGGACCUAAAGGUGAGAAAGGCACCCGCAUGGAGGGCCCUGAACGGCAUGACCUGUGUGUGGAACUCCAACCUCCCCCGUCAAAUCAAACUCAGCUUCUUCAAUGCAACGGUAGAGUCUGUUCUCCUCUACGGCAGCGAAUGCUGGUCCCUGAAGCCAACCUUGCAGAAGUCUUUAGACGGGUGCUACACCAGAAUGCUGCGUGCAGUACUUAACAUCAGCAAGAGUACACAUGUUACCAACAGGAUCCUGUAUGAAGGAAUACCAAGGGUGAGUGAGAAAGUAGCUGCCAGGAGAAUGAGACUGGCAGGACACUGCCAAAGACACCAAGAGCUGCCAGCCAGCAAAUUUGUACUGUGGGAACCAACCCAUGGGCAUCGGUCUCGAGGACGUCCUAGACUCACAUUCGUGGAUGUACUCAAGAAGGAUGCAGGAGCACAAAGUACCAAUGAACUGGCCAGAUGUAUGGAGAAUCGGGAUGACUGGAAGCAACGAUGGAGGGCUCGUCUGAGGACGACCUCGAGAGAGCUAACUGUUGGAGCCCUCUCAUCCUACCCUUUGCGUCUCUCUUUGGGGUGUCCCUGUCAUGGUCCUGAAGGAUGUUCCAGUUUGGGUAACUGA